GACGAACGCUGGCGGCGUGCUUAACACAUGCAAGUCGAACGGAAAGGCCCGGCGUUUGUGGGGUGCUCGAGUGGCGAACGGGGGAGUGACACGUGAGUAAACUGCCCUUGACUUUGGGAGAAAUUCAGGAAACAGGGGCGAAUACCCGAUAGGAUCUCCUGCAGCAUGGUGGGGGUUAGAAAGAGUCGGCGGUGGGGGAUGGACUAGCUGCUUAUCAGCUUGAUUGUCGAGUAGUGGCAUACCAAGGGUUUGACGGGUAGGCGGCAUUAGAGGGUGAACGGGCACAUUGGGACUGAGAUACGGACCAGACUCCUACGUGACGCAGCAGUGGGGAAUAUUGCACAGUGGGCGGAAGCCUGAUGUAGCAACGCCGCGUGCGGGAUGACCGCUUUUGGGUUGUAAACCGCUUUCUACGGUGACGAAGAGUGCGUGACGGUAAUUGGUCAAGAAGCCCCGGCUAACUACGUG
rnacentral:rRNA from 1 species